rnacentral:misc_RNA from 1 species
AUUUCAAUUUUAGAUAAAAUUUAACCAAAUUUUCAAGAUUCGGUCAAUUGAUCCAAAAUUGAAAGAUUUGGAUUAAAACGUCAAAUGUUACAAAGGUUUGGAUUUAUUAAACCAAAACGCCUAUUUAAAAACAAAAUGACCAAAAUGUAAUAAAAGGAUAGUUUAUGAUUAAGAAUUAUACAUUGAGAAUGUGAAACCAUGGGCAGCUUUGUGAAAUGGUCAGUAGGGGAAAUGUCUCCAAUAGGGACAUGGGGCUUAUCUCUCAGUUUUGUGUUAAUCUAAAGUGACCCUUCUCUCUCUCUCUCUCUCU